AGAUAUUUGGGAUGAGGCAGCAUGCUGGUCCCUCAGCAGCAUCCUUAUCACGUCAGCUGUGAGAGAAAUAAAACUGUGAGACUGUGAAGUGUAUAAAGGAUUCUACCGCUCUCCCGGGGCUUGGAGACCCACAGAUUGGAGAAACCCUCUUGCCAUGUGCUACCUUUUGCCAUGUUAUGAAGGGGCAAGAAGGCCCUAACCAGAUGCAGCCCCUCGAACUGGG
rnacentral:lncRNA from 1 species